rnacentral:rRNA from 1 species
UGGGGAAUCUUCCGCAAUGGGCGAAAGCCUGACGGAGCAACGCCGCGUGAGUGAUGACGGCCUUCGGGUUGUAAAGCUCUGUGAUCGGGGACGAACGGUCAGCAGACGAAUACUCUGCUGAAGUGACGGUACCCGAAUAGCAAGCCACGGCUAACUACGUGCCAGCAGCCGCGGUAAUACGUAGGUGGCAAGCGUUAUCCGGAUUUAUUGGGUUUAAAGGGAGCACAGGCCGGCUGUCAAGCGUGUUGUGAAAUGUAGGGGCUCGAACCUCUGAACUGCAGCGCGAACUGACGGUCUUGAGUGCGCGCAACGUUGGCGGAAUUCGUCGUGUAGCGGUGAAAUGCUUAGAUAUGACGAAGAACUCCGAUUGCGAAGGCAGCUGACGGGAGCGUUACUGACGCUUAAGCUCGAAAGUGC